CGACGAACCGUACAAACGUUAUUCGGAAUUACUGGGCUUAAAGGGUGCGUAGGCGGUCCGGAAAGUUGGGUGUGAAAUCCCUCGGCUCAACCGAGGAAUUGCGCCCAAAACUACCGGGCUCGAGGGAGACAGAGGUGAGUGGAACUUAGGGUGGAGCGGUGAAAUGCGUUGAUAUCCUAAGGAACACCAGUGGCGAAAGCGACUCACUGGGUCUCUUCUGACGCUGAGGCACGAAAGCUAGGGGAGCGAACGGGAUUAGAAACCCCAGUAGUCC
rnacentral:rRNA from 1 species